CUGGGGUGCUCGAGUGGCGAACGGGUGAGUAACACGUGGGUGAUCUGCCCUGCACUUCGGGAUAAGCUUGGGAAACUGGGUCUAAUACCGGAUAGGACCAUCGUUUAGUGUCGGCGGUGGAGAGUUUUUUCGGUGUGGGAUGAGCUCGCGGCCUAUCGGCUUGUUGGUGGGGUAAUGGCCUACCAAGGCGUCGACGGGUAGCCGGCCUGAGAGGGUGUACGGCCACAUUGGGACUGAGAUACGGCCCAG
rnacentral:rRNA from 1 species